rnacentral:rRNA from 1 species
GUCCACACGGUAAACGAUGGAUACUCGCUGUUGGCGAUAUACGGUCAGCGGCUUAGCGAAAGCGUUAAGUAUCCCACCUGGGGAGUACGCCGGCAACGGUGAAACUCAAAGGAAUUGACGGGGGCCCGCACAAGCGGAGGAACAUGUGGUUUAAUUCGAUGAUACGCGAGGAACCUUACCCGGGCUUAAAUUGCAAAGGAAUGAUCUGGAAACAGGUCAGUCUUCGGACCUUUGUGAAGGUGCUGCAUGGUUGUCGU